rnacentral:rRNA from 1 species
CCUACGGGUGGCAGCAGUGGGGGAUAUUGGGCAAUGGAGGAAACCCUGAUCCAGCAACGCCGCGUGAGUGAAGAAGUUUUUCGGAUUGUAAAGCUCUUUUCUAAGGGAAGAAGGAAGUGACGGUACCUUAGUAAGAAGCCCCGGCUAACUACGUGCCAGCAGCCGCGGUAAUACGUAGGGGGCAAGCGUUAUCCGGAAUGACUGGGUGUAAAGGGAGCGUAGGUGGUAAUGCAAGUCUGGAGUGAAAGUCCGGGGCCCAACCCUCGGACUGCUAGGGAAACUGUUGGACUGGAGUGCAGGAGAGGCAGGCGGAAUUCCUAGUGUAGCGGUGAAAUGCGUAGAUAGUAGGAGGAACACCAGUGGCGAAGGCGGCGUGCUGGACUGUAACUGACGCUGAGGCUCGAAAGCGUGGGGAGCAAACAGGAUUAGAUACCCUAGUAGUC